rnacentral:rRNA from 1 species
UACGUAGGGGGCAAGCGUUGUCCGGAUUUAUUGGGCGUAAAGAGCGUGUAGGCGGCCAGAUAGGUCAGCUGUGAAAACUCGAGGCUCAACCUCGAGAUGUCGGCUGAAACCAUCUGGCUAGAGUCCGGAAGAGGAGAGUGGAAUUCCUGGUGUAGCGGUGAAAUGCGCAGAUAUCGGGAGGAACACCAAUGGCGAAGGCAGCUCGUUGGGACGUUACUGACGCUGAGACGCGAAGGCGUGGGGAGCAAACAGG